rnacentral:tRNA from 1 species
GAUCCUGUAGCUCAGCUGGAUAGAGCAUUCGCCUCCUAAGCGAAAGGUCGCGCGUUCGACUCGCGUUGGGAUCA